GAUGAACGCUGGCGGCGUGCCUAACACAUGCAAGUCGAACGGCCCGCAAGGGCAGUGGCAAACGGGUGCGUAACACGUAGGCAUCUACCGCAUAGCUGGGGACAACGAGUGGAAACGGUCGCUAAUACCCGAUGUGCUCUGAGGAGCAAAGUCUAACGACGCUAUGCGAGGAGCCUGCGGCCUAUCAGGUCGUUGGUGAGGUCAC
rnacentral:rRNA from 1 species